UACGUAGGCAGCGAGCGUUGUUCGGAGUUACUGGGCGUAAAGGGGGUGUAGGCGGUUGUUUAAGUUUGGGGUGAAAUCUCCCGGCUCAACUGGGAGGGUGCGCCGAAUACUGAAUGACUUGGAGUGCGGGAGAGGUGAGUGGAAUUCCUGGUGUAGCGGUGAAAUGCGUAGAUAUCAGGAGGAACACCGGUGGUGUAGACGGCUCACUGGACCGUAACUGACGCUGAGACACGAAAGCGUGGGUAGCAAACAGG
rnacentral:rRNA from 1 species